AGAGACGAGGUUUCGCCAUGUUUCCCAGACUGUUCUCAAACUCCUGAGCUCAAAGCAGUCCACCCACCUUGGCCUCCCAGAGUGCUGGGAUUACAGGAAGUGAGCUCACAAUGACUCAAGCUGCCACAUAGUGUUGAUUGUGAAAUGCCAGUUGAAGCAUAUGUCCUGCGAGCUUGGGGGUGCUACAAGUUGACCACUGCAGCAGUAAAGAUGACUCUGAAGAAUGGCGUGGGAUGGAUCCUUUCAAAUGCACUUGAGCAGCAGUCUCCAACCACAGGGCCACAGAGCUGGAGCUGGAUCUACCAUGAAAGACUUCUGAAUCCAGGAAGAGAGACUGACUGGGCAACAUGUUAUUCAGGUACAAAAAGAUUUGGACUGUAACUUAAAAAUGAUCAAAUAAUAGUGCAUGCAUCAAGUGCAAUGGGAAGCUCCACUGGAGAGUGAGAGAAGCUUCCAGUUAAGGUGACAUUGAAGCCAAGUCCUG
rnacentral:lncRNA from 1 species